CUUGAAAGAAAACAUUAUCUAGCUGGCAAAAGCUGGCUUUACAAUACGCAGGAUGAGCCCCCUGUCUGUACCAAAAAAUAAAAUAUAUUUUUGCCUUUUUGACUGACCCUUUUUCUUCUUCAUCCCUUCUUCUUGAUCAUUCAUUCGUUCAUUCACCAAGUUCGAACUUGAACGCACAACAGCAUUACCACAUGAGUAAUUAGGGUUUAUACAGCAACAAGAAACAUAAAAAUGAGUGGGUCCAGGUUCAUUAAGUGUGUUACCGUAGGUGACGGUGCCGUAGGCAAGACUUGUUUGCUUAUCUCCUACACCAGCAACACUUUCCCUACGGACUAUGUGCCUACUGUCUUUGAUAAUUUCAGUGCAAAUGUAGUUGUGGAUGGGAGCACUAUAAAUCUGGGUUUGUGGGAUACUGCUGGCCAAGAAGAUUACAAUAGAUUAAGACCCUUAAGCUAUCGUGGAGCGGAUGUUUUCCUGCUUGCUUUCUCACUCAUAAGCAGGGCCAGCUAUGAAAAUAUCGCCAAGAAAUGGAUUCCUGAGUUGAGGCAUUAUGCUCCUGGUGUUCCAAUUAUUCUCGUUGGAACAAAACUUGGGCAUUUAAUGGCAACUAAAUCUAUGUCUUGUAGAUCUUCGGGAUGAUAAGCAAUUCUUUCAAGACCAUCCUGGUGCGGUGCCAAUCACCACAGCACAGGGUGAGGAACUGAGAAAGCUUAUUGGUGCUCCAGUUUACAUUGAAUGUAGUUCCAAAACACAAAAGAAUGUGAAGGCUGUUUUUGAUGCGGCCAUCAAAGUAGUUCUACAGCCGCCAAAGCAAAAGAAAACUAAGAGAAAGGGGCAAAAAGCCUGUUCCAUUUUGUGAUCUUCAGUUCUUCAUAUUGUAGUUGGUGGAGAGGACGACAUGAUAGUAACCAUUUCCUGGUAGUCUUUGCCAUUCUGAUUCUAUAUCUUACCCUAUUUUCAACCUACAUGGAGGAAUCGACGUGUCCAACUGAGUCCUAACUACAUAAGGUUUGCUUAUAAGCAUCAAGCUAUUUGUCUCUGGCUGAAGGAUAUAUGUAAAGUCAUAAUUUCAAACAUGUUUGGUGUGUAGAACAACUCUUGUGUUUCUCUGGGAUGUUUUUACCUGUUGUAUUGAUUAUUAAAUGACCAUCUCCAAUUGUGGACAUGGGUUUUACUCACAUUGUAAUCUAAUCUAGGAAGUGCUUGCAUAUGUGGCUUUGGUUGUGAACUAAGUAUAUGUAAUUAAUUAUGUUAGCUGUUUAAUAGCCUGAAUAUAGUUUGGUUUGUUCAUUGAUA